UUGUGGGGUAAAGGCCUACCAAGACAAUGAUGCAUAGCCGAGUUGAAAGACUGAUCGGCCACAUUGGGACUGAGACACGGCCCAAACUCCUACGGAGGCUGCAGUAGGGAAUCUUCCACAAUGGGCGAAAGCCUGAUGGAGCAACGCCGCGUGUGUGAUGAAGGCUUUCGGGUCGUAAAGCACUGUUGUAUGGGAAGAAAAGUUAAGGUAGGGAAUGACCUUAGCCUGACGGUACCAUACCAGAAAGGGACGGCUAAAUACGUGCCAGCAGCCGCGGUAAUACGUAUGUCCCGAGCGUUAUCCGGAUUUAUUGGGCGUAAAGCGAGCGCAGACGGUUGGUUAAGUCUGAUGUGAAAGCCCGGAGCUCAACUCCGGAAAGGCAUUGGAAACUGGUUAACUUGAGUGCAGUAGAGGUAAGUGGAACUCCAUGUGUAGCGGUGGAAUGCGUAGAUAUAUGGAAGAACACCAGCGGCGAAGGCGGCUUACUGGACUGUAACUGACGUUGAGGCUCGAAAGUGUGGGUAGCAAACAGGAUUAGAUACCCUGGUAGUCCACACCGUAAACGAUGAACACUAGGUGUUAGGAGGUUUCCGCCUCUUAGUGCCGAAGCUAACGCAUUAAGUGUUCCGCCUGGGGAGUACGACCGCAAGGUUGAAACUCAAAGGAAUUGACGGGGACCCGCACAAGCGGUGGAGCAUGUGGUUUAAUUCGAAGCAACGCGAAGAACCUUACCAGGUCUUGACAUCCUUUGAAGCUUUUAGAAAUAGAAGUGUUCUCUUCGGAGACAAAGUGACAGGUGGUGCAUGGUCGUCGUCAGCUCGUGUCGUGAGAUGUUGGGUUAAGUCCCGCAACGAGCGCAACCCUUAUUGUUAGUUGCCAGCAUUCAGAUGGGCACUCUAGCGAGACUGCCGGUGACAAACCGGAGGAAGGCGGGGACGACGUCAGAUCAUCAUGCCCCUUAUGACCUGGGCUACACACGUGCUACAAUGGCGUAUACAACGAGUUGCCAACCUGCGAAGGUGAGCUAAUCUCUUAAAGUACGUCUCAGUUCGGACUGCAGUCUGCAACUCGACUGCACGAAGUCGGAAUCGCUAGUAAUCGCGGAUCAGCACGCCGCGGUGAAUACGUUCCCGGGUCUUGUACACACCGCCCGUCACACCAUGGAAGUUUGUAAUGCCCAAAGCCGGUGGCCUAACCGUAAGGAGGAACCGUC
rnacentral:rRNA from 1 species